rnacentral:rRNA from 1 species
AUUGGACGCUGGCGGCAUGCCUUACACAUGCAAGUCGAACGGCAGCACGGGAGCAAUCCUGGUGGCGAGUGGCGAACGGGUGAGUAAAGUAUCGGAACGUGCCCAGUCGUGGGGGAUAACGUAGCGAAAGUUACGCUAAUACCGCAUACGAUCUAUGGAUGAAAGCGGGGGAUCGCAAGACCUCGCGCGAUUGGAGCGGCCGAUAUCAGAUUAGGUAGUUGGUGGGGUAAAGGCUCACCAAGCCGACGAUCUGUAGCUGGUCUGAGAGGACGACCAGCCACACUGGGACUGAGACACGGCCCAGACUCCUACGGGAGGCAGCAGUGGGGAAUUUUGGACAAUGGGCGAAAGCCUGAUCCAGCCAUGCCGCGUGCAGGAUGAAGGCCUUCGGGUUGUAAACUGCUUUUGUACGGAACGAAAAGGUUUGGGCUAAUAAGCUGAGCUCAUGACGGUGCCGUAAGAAUAAGCACCGGCUAACUACGUGCCAGCCGCCGCGGUAA